rnacentral:sRNA from 1 species
AUGUAUUAGUAUCUGGGAUCUCCCCUGGGGGAAACUAGAGUCAUUCGCUGGAAAGGCCAGGUGCUUUGUUUCAUGGUCAAUUGCUUGGCUGCCUAAAUUCCUUUUUCUUUGAAUAGGAUGAAACUGAUUCCAAGACAGCCUCCCCGUGGAAGUCUGCUCGUCUGAUGGUUCACACCGUGGCCACCUUUAAUUCCAUCAAGGAGCUGAAUGAGCGCUGGCGGUCCCUACAGCAGCUGGCCGAGGAACGGAGCCAGCUCUUGGGCAGCGCCCAUGAAGUACAGAGGUUCCACAGAGAUGCUGAUGAAACCAAAGAAUGGAUUGAAGAGAAGAAUCAGGCUCUAAACACAGACAAUUAUGGACAUGAUCUUGCCAGUGUCCAGGCCCUGCAACGCAAGCAUGAGGGCUUCGAGAGGGACCUUGCGGCUCUCGGUGACAAGGUAAACUCCCUUGGUGAAACAGCAGAGCGCCUGAUCCAAUCCCAUCCCGAGUCAGCAGAAGACCUGCAGGAAAAGUGCACAGAGUUAAACCAGGCCUGGAGCAGCCUGGGGAAACGUGCAGAUCAGCGCAAGGCAAAGUUGGGUGACUCCCACGACCUGCAGCGCUUCCUUAGCGAUUUCCGGGACCUCAUGUCUUGGAUCAAUGGAAUACGGGGGUUGGUGUCCUCAGAUGAGCUAGCCAAGGAUGUCACCGGAGCUGAGGCGUUGCUGGAGCGACACCAGGAACACCGGACAGAAAUCGAUGCCAGGGCUGGCACUUUCCAGGCAUUUGAGCAGUUUGGACAGCAGCUGUUGGCUCACGGACACUAUGCCAGCCCUGAGAUCAAGCAGAAACUUGAUAUUCUUGACCAGGAGCGUGCA